UACCACGUUAAAUUUAUCCUCGGUCAGCUGCAAUCAUUUCUUUCAUUCUCAUUUCUGCGAAACUUUAUCCGCUGCAAAUUUUCACCAAUUUUCCUAUCUAUAGCGAUCUGUACUAACCGCAGAGUUCCGCACUACAUUUUCCCUUCAACUUGACUAACUUGCUACAAGAAUAAUUUGUUUGCAAAUGCGGCUUACUCACCUGAACGAAGAUCGCUAGAGGACAUGACGCCAGUUGCUGUCACACACUCACUCUAUAAUAUAGUAUAGUAUAGUAUAGUAUAAUAUAGUAUAAUAUAUAGUAUACACUGACACUGUGCGGAGACGGCGAGAGAUCGAGCGGCGACGAUCUCGAUCGAUCGGAAAGCAAGAAUGAGGCAGCGCACGGUCGCUCGUCCCGAUUGUUUGUGAACGGUCACGAUCCUGUACGAUCGUACGCACUUUUAUCGCGCUGGCACGUGGUCGCAGUCUCUCGACCACCGUUGAUUCAGCGUGGAACCUCUGCUCCACGUAGCCGCCCCACCAGACUGCAGCAACUGGCGUGCGCGCGAGCGCGAACGCGCGCGCAACAGCCUACGUUUAUUUUCGAUUACCGAGCAGCCAGUUUUAUUUUUAACGCGCGUGCAACAAACUCACCAGUCCGUCUACACGGCCACCCUAAACAACAUAGGUGCGCCGACUCGCGGCGCUUUUCUCAAGGAACUUCCAAAUGACGGAUGCUUUUCAAUCGAUGCUAUCGACGCACGCGUUACCUCGUUCUAAUUAGCUGCAAUUUAGGUGCUGCAAUUUCUACCACAGCUACUCGUGCGAUUGUUCAGCUUUCGAGUCGACCCGUUUCAACGAAACCACUCGUUGUACGACGAAUAUUAUCGAGUAUGGGAAAUAUCUCAAAGCAGAGACAUCGUUGAUAAAAUAAAAUAUGCAAUUUCUAGAAACGAUUAGUCAUACGUUUCUUUCAACGCGCGAUUAAGAAGCCUGAAAAUUCUUCGACUUAUGAUAAUUCGUCAUUCAGACGAAUGCUGCUAUUGUGUAUGAUCUAUCUAUAUCUAUAAAUAAAUAAAUAUAUAUAGAUAUAUAAUAUAUAAUAUGUAACAUAUAAUAAAUAUAAUAUAUGUAAAUAUAUAAGUAUCUAUCGGGAAUGAAAAAUCGUAGAACAAUUAACGAUAGUGAAAUACGCUAGAAGCUACAAACAUAUCGAGUUAGCGUUAAAAAUCCGUGUCCGAUUGCAACAGAUGUGAUUAAAUUAUUUAUCCUGGAGCCUCAUCCGCUGUUGGGCGUGAAAGCUUCGUGGCGGAUCGAAACGCCGAUAUUCCAUUGUUAUUCCAACGACAGAACAUUUUUCUGUUUUGACAGUUUGUAUUAUUGUAUAAAAAACGAUUUUGAAAAUGAGCCACGAAACGACUGGUUCGCCGGUGACUUCUGUAAAAACCAUACGGAACAUUUACCGAGGCUGUUCGUGCGGUAAAAAGGAAACAAUGAAAAAAUUCAGACGCGGCGAUUUCCGACUUCACGACGAGCCACAAACUCGUCGAUCUUCUGUCAUAGACGACGCCUAAUUUGCUGUAUAUGUCGUGUUCAAUAUUUCUCGAAUUUCAAGCAAAAAACUUUCGCAGAUAAACUCUGUUAUCGCGCCAAGAGCUGUUGCACGGUGUUGGUAAACGUGUCGAGAGUUUUUUUUGCGCCAGCUGCCAGCGUUUGCACGUUUUCGGAAC
rnacentral:misc_RNA from 1 species